rnacentral:rRNA from 1 species
GUCGAGCGGACAGAUGGGAGCUUGCUCCCUGAUGUUAGCGGCGGACGGGUGAGUAACACGUGGGUAACCUGCCUGUAAGACUGGGAUAACUCCGGGAAACCGGGGCUAAUACCGGAUGGUUGUUUGAACCGCAUGGUUCAAACAUAAAAGGUGGCUUCGGCUACCACUUACAGAUGGACCCGCGGCGCAUUAGCUAGUUGGUGAGGUAACGGCUCACCAAGGCAACGAUGCGUAGCCGACCUGAGAGGGUGAUCGGCCACACUGGGACUGAGACACGGCCCAGACUCCUACGGGAGGCAGCAGUAGGGAAUCUUCCGCAAUGGACGAAAGUCUGACGGAGCAACGCCGCGUGAGUGAUGAAGGUUUUCGGAUCGUAAAGCUCUGUUGUUAGGGAAGAACAAGUACCGUUCGAAUAGGGCGGUACCUUGACGGUACCUAACCAGAAAGCCACGGCUAACUACGUGCCAGCAGCCGCGGUAAUACGUAGGUGGCAAGCGUUGUCCGGAAUUAUUGGGCGUAAAGGGCUCGCAGGCGGUUUCUUAAGUCUGAUGUGAAAGCCCCCGGCUCAACCGGGGAGGGUCAUUGGAAACUGGGGAACUUGAGUGCAGAAGAGGAGAGUGGAAUUCCACGUGUAGCGGUGAAAUGCGUAGAGAUGUGGAGGAACACCAGUGGCGAAGGCGACUCUCUGGUCUGUAACUGACGCUGAGGAGCGAAAGCGUGGGGAGCGAACAGGAUUAGAUACCCUGGUAGUCCACGCCGUAAACGAUGAGUGCUAAGUGUUAGGGGGUUUCCGC